CAAGUCGUACGGUAAGGCCCUUUCGGGGGUACACGAGUGGCGAACGGGUGAGUAACACGUGAGUAACCUGCCCACAACUUUGGGAUAACGCUAGGAAACUGGUGCUAAUACUGGAUAUGUGCUCCUGCUGCAUGGUGGGGGUUGGAAAGCUCCGGCGGUUGUGGAUGGACUCGCGGCCUAUCAGCUUGUUGGUGGGGUAGUGGCCUACCAAGGCGGCGACGGGUAGCCGGCCUGAGAGGGUGACCGGCCACAUUGGGACUGAGAUACGGCCCAGACUCCUACGGGAGGCAGCAGUGGGGAAUAUUGCACAAUGGGCGCAAGCCUGAUGCAGCAACGCCGCGUGCGGGAUGACGGCCUUCGGGUUGUAAACCGCUUUCAGCAGGGACGAAGCUUUUUGUGACGGUACCUGCAGAAGAAGCACCGGCUAACUACGUGCCAGCAGCCGCCGGUGAUACGUAGGGUGCGAGCGUUGUCCGGAUUUAUUGGGCGUAAAGGGCUCGUAGGCGGUUGAUCGCGUCGGAAGUGGAAACUUGAUGCUUAACGUUGAGCGUGCUUUCGAUACGGGUUGACUUGAGGAAGGUAGGGGAGAAUGGAAUUCCUGGUGGAGCGGUGGAAUGCGCAGAUAUCAGGAGGAACACCAGUGGCGAAGGCGGUUCUCUGGACCUUUCCUGACGCUGAGGAGCGAAAGCGUGGGGAGCGAACAGGCUUAGAUACCCUGGUAGUCCACGCUGUAAACGGUGGGUACUAGGUGUGGGGUCCAUUCCACGGAUUCUGUGCCGUAGCUAACGCAUUAAGUACCCCGCCUGGGGAGUACGGCCGCAAGGCUAAAACUCAAAGGAAUUGACGGGGCCCCGCACAAGCGGCGGAGCAUGCGGAUUAAUUCGAUGCAACGCGAAGAACCUUACCUGGGUUUGACAUGGAUCGGAAGCUUCCAGAGAUGGUUGUGCCUCUUUUGGGGUCGGUUCACAGGUGGUGCAUGGCUGUCGUCAGCUCGUGUCGUGAGAUGUUGGGUUAAGUCCCGCAACGAGCGCAACCCU
rnacentral:rRNA from 1 species